GCACCAAUUGUUUUACUCGUAAAGGUGCCUCUCACCGCCCAUCCACUGGCACCUUCACCAGCCACUACUGCCCACAGCUAUUUUUUCCAAAUCAGCCUUUUUAUUUAUUUAAUCAGUGUUUAUUUUGGUUUUUUGGGGGGGGGGUCAGUGAAAUAGCUGGAAAGCUUUUCAUUUUGCCCUCCCCCACCCUAGCUGUCUGUGCCUGCCCACACUGUGCCAGCCUGCCACUGGUCUGCAAUUCCUUCCCUUAUUUUUUUUCACCUGACCAGUGUGUGGGGCAGAAGAUCACCAGGAUGAGGGGCGAAAGAAAAGAGGAAGAAACAUCUCUGUUCAUUCUUUCCACAUACAAGAUCUGUAUUUUAAAAGGAAACCAGCCAGAGGAAAUGCAGCAGUGAAAUGACAUUUAUUGGAAAUUCUCCAGGGUACUGCAGAACAGAUAUUUGAAGCAGAAAUGUACCAAUAGCUAGAUCUGGAUAACCACCUCUCUGCAGAGUUAACACAGCUAUCUUGUCAUCCAGCCCCAUUCAUAUUAAGAGGUGCGCGUUCUCAGGGAAUGUACUCCAACCUCACCAUAAUUUAAACCCUUCACCGAUCAUCUGCAACGACUCUCUGCAACAGACUCUCCCUCCCAAAUUGUGCAUUUGUCUGACUGAUUGCCAGUCUAAGCACAUUCCUCAGUCUCCUCUGAACAGAAAUGAGAAGCAGGGAAAUAUUGAUUAGCUGCCAAACCUUAUUACAUUGCUAAUGGAGACUUACACUUAAGAAAGAAGCCACUAUCAAGUCAGGAAACAGCUUGUCAGACCAGCAGCCUGAUUCCAUACAGGUUUACUUACUUCCAAGCAGUGAUAGGUAAUCCUCCUUGGGCUCACUUAGAAGCAGCUAAUUUGGAAUGAACCCAGACUGGGCCCAGAUUAGCUCAUUUUAAAUUUGGGCCCAUUCCUCUGUGGUGCUCCUGACUGAAAACUGGAAACAUACGCUCGGGAGAUUCCCUUCUACCCCUUUUGAGCCUCCCAUUCCUUAGGAAAUAUGACAUAGAUUAGAAGGUCUCCAAACGCCCUCCCCACAACCCUACUUUCCCUCUCCAAAACAUACCUGACAGUAGUGAAAAGAACUGUCAUUAAGCAGCAGCAACACUGUGAGUGUCAAAGCCUCAGGGAACUAUAUUCUCCAGGGUCCUUGACACCUACAGUGCUGCUGCAAGGCUGUCCCAGGAGGAGCAGCACCUGCCCUUCUUGCUGCCACCACUACCAGGUAAAAUUUCCAUCGACAAGGGAAAGAGGUAUGCCAGGGCUGAGCUAACUGCAAGCAAAGCCUGAAUUCCAGAGAACUUUGGGCUUGGCUUGUAGUUAGUCUGAACUCCCCAAUCCCAAACUUCAGCUGCAUCAUUUCUUCCAAAAGUAAAUAAGAUUGUAGCCUUAGUUACUUUACCUACACUUAUGGGUUGCAAGCUGAGAAGGGUUGGGCAAAAAUCAGAACGGGUUCCAGACUGCAGGUCUCUGGGCAAUGUGGCUCAGGAAGACCUCUUAAGUACCAGGGGGAACAAAGGAGUGUGGGGCAUGUUGAAUAAGAGUCCCCAAGCCACAACAGGGAACUCUGAUGCUCUUUUGCACCUGGAAGGAUCCUAUACCAAGAGAACACCAAAAGGGCAGUGCUGGCUCUUGGUCCCUAAAGUGACCUCAACAAAUAUCUGAUCCCACCAACCCCUGGCAAUGGCUCCCAAAAUUAUCUGCAUAAUGGAUGACUAUUUUUUUACAUUAUUAUUAUUAUGGUGUCUUUCCGCAGGAAUGAACCAGCAUGGAGCAGAACUAAUAUUUUUUGAGAACAGCUCAAGGAAGAAGAAAAAACACUGCUACAAAACUCUGCUUAAUCUAAAAACAGAUAUUUUUAUUCCCAAGUUAUUUUUUGUUUCCUAAAAAAAAAUAAAAACAGAAACAGAAGAUUUUAAAUCUAGAUUUGCAUAUGUACAGAGAGAUAACAUCAUAAAAUAAGAAUACAUCCAGAUUCCAGAAGAACAUCAGGUUGCUUACCUGUACUAUAGUUCUUCUAGUGGUCAUCUGUCCAUCACACAGUUGGGCUUCAUUUGGAGAGUGAAGGUCUAAUCAGGAGUUUGCAAGCUUUUUCUUCCCUCUCUAAGUGGUAGCUCCUCCCCCUUAUGCCUCAGAGGUCACAUGGCUAGCCCUUACCUCCCUAGUUAAGGAGUCCACCACUAUGACAUAUACUCUGCAGUGGGGAGGAUGGGUGGAUGUGUGCAUGGACAGAUGAACACCAAAAGAACUACAGUGCACUAGAGUGAGCAACCUGAUGUUCUUCUGGGUUGUCUCCAGGUAGGGCAGACUAAAAUAGUGUACGGCUGAAGUAAGCAUCUCCUCUUGCUCUCAUAUUUAGUGCAUAGUGACAAAUAAAGGAGAUGGGGUGGCCCACGUAGCGGCUCGAUAUAUGAAAUCCAAGGACAAGCCUCUGUAAAAGGCCAUAGAUGUGGCUAGAGCACGAGUAGAAUGUUCCUUAUCCGAUAUGGGGGGGUUGUACUCCUGCCCCUUGGUAUACAAGUUUGAUCGCCUGUACAAUCCAAUUAGGGAUGGUAAGGGAGGAAGCCUGAUGUCCUCUAUUUUUUCAUCACCAUAGGGAAGGUGAGGUUCUGAAGGAUGAAGUCCUGCUCAUAUAAAAGGUCAGUGCCUUGUAGACAUCCAGGGAAUGCCAGUGCCACUCAUCCUCAGUGGUAGGAUUGGGAAAGAAAUGUUGGCAAGGUGAGCAACUGAGAUCUGUGGAAAGAGGAGGCCAUCUUUGGGAGAAAGGAGAUGUCCAGAUGCAGAGUAACUUUGUCUAAAUGGAAGGUUAAGUAUGGAGGAUCACAUCGGAGGGCUCAUAGUUCUCCAACCCUUCAAGCCAAAGUUAUUGCUACUAGGAAAACAGUCUUAUAAGACAGCAGGAGGAAGUCACAGAUAGCCAAAGGUUCAAAAGGUUUCCAUGUCAAGUUGGAGAGGACUAGUGGGAGGUCCCAUG